CCUGACUGACCGAUAGUGAACCAGUACCGUGAGGGAAAGGCGAAAAGAACCCCGGCGAGGGGAGUGAAAAAGAACCUGAAACCGUGUACGUACAAGCAGUGGGAGCACGCUUAGGCGUGUGACUGCGUACCUUUUGUAUAAUGGGUCAGCGACUUAUAUUCUGUAGCAAGGUUAACCGAAUAGGGGAGCCGAAGGGAAACCGAGUCUUAACUGGGCGUUAAGUUGCAGGGUAUAGACCCGAAACCCGGUGAUCUAGCCAUGGGCAGGUUGAAGGUUGGGUAACACUAACUGGAGGACCGAACCGACUAAUGUUGAAAAAUUAGCGGAUGACUUGUGGCUGGGGGUGAAAGGCCAAUCAAACCGGGAGAUAGCUGGUUCUCCCCGAAAGCUAUUUAGGUAGCGCCUCGUGAAUUCAUCUCCGGGGGUAGAGCACUGUUUCGGCAAGGGGGUCAUCCCGACUUACCAACCCGAUGCAAACUGCGAAUACCGGAGAAUGUUAUCACGGGAGACACACGGCGGGUGCUAACGUCCGUCGUGAAGAGGGAAACAACCCAGACCGCCAGCUAAGGUCCCAAAGUCAUGGUUAAGUGGGAAACGAUGUGGGAAGGCCCAGACAGCCAGGAUGUUGGCUUAGAAGCAGCCAUCAUUUAAAGAAAGCGUAAUAGCUCACUGGUCGAGUCGGCCUGCGCGGAAGAUGUAACGGGGCUAAACCAUGCACCGAAGCUGCGGCAGCGACACUAUGUGUUGUUGGGUAGGGGAGCGUUCUGUAAGCCUGUGAAGGUGUGCUGUGAGGCAUGCUGGAGGUAUCAGAAGUGCGAAUGCUGACAUAAGUAACGAUAAAGCGGGUGAAAAGCCCGCUCGCCGGAAGACCAAGGGUUCCUGUCCAACGUUAAUCGGGGCAGGGUGAGUCGACCCCUAAGGCGAGGCCGAAAGGCGUAGUCGAUGGGAAACAGGUUAAUAUUCCUGUACUUGGUGUUACUGCGAAGGGGGGACGGAGAAGGCUAUGUUGGCCGGGCGACGGUUGUCCCGGUUUAAGCGUGUAGGCUGGUUUUCCAGGCAAAUCCGGAAAAUCAAGGCUGAGGCGUGAUGACGAGGCACUACGGUGCUGAAGCAACAAAUGCCCUGCUUCCAGGAAAAGCCUCUAAGCAUCAGGUAACAUCAAAUCGUACCCCAAACCGACACAGGUGGUCAGGUAGAGAAUACCAAGGCGCUUGAGAGAACUCGGGUGAAGGAACUAGGCAAAAUGGUGCCGUAACUUCGGGAGAAGGCACGCUGAUAUGUAGGUGAGGUCCCUCGCGGAUGGAGCUGAAAUCAGUCGAAGAUACCAGCUGGCUGCAACUGUUUAUUAAAAACACAGCACUGUGCAAACACGAAAGUGGACGUAUACGGUGUGACGCCUGCCCGGUGCCGGAAGGUUAAUUGAUGGGGUUAGCGCAAGCGAAGCUCUUGAUCGAAGCCCCGGUAAACGGCGGCCGUAACUAUAACGGUCCUAAGGUAGCGAAAUUCCUUGUCGGGUAAGUUCCGACCUGCACGAAUGGCGUAAUGAUGGCCAGGCUGUCUCCACCCGAGACUCAGUGAAAUUGAACUCGCUGUGAAGAUGCAGUGUACCCGCGGCAAGACGGAAAGACCCCGUGAACCUUUACUAUAGCUUGACACUGAACAUUGAGCCUUGAUGUGUAGGAUAGGUGGGAGGCUUAGAAGUGUGGACGCCAGUCUGCAUGGAGCCGACCUUGAAAUACCACCCUUUAAUGUUUGAUGUUCUAACGUUGACCCGUAAUCCGGGUUGCGGACAGUGUCUGGUGGGUAGUUUGACUGGGGCGGUCUCCUCCUAAAGAGUAACGGAGGAGCACGAAGGUUGGCUAAUCCUGGUCGGACAUCAGGAGGUUAGUGCAAUGGCAUAAGCCAGCUUGACUGCGAGCGUGACGGCGCGAGCAGGUGCGAAAGCAGGUCAUAGUGAUCCGGUGGUUCUGAAUGGAAGGGCCAUCGCUCAACGGAUAAAAGGUACUCCGGGGAUAACAGGCUGAUACCGCCCAAGAGUUCAUAUCGACGGCGGUGUUUGGCACCUCGAUGUCGGCUCAUCACAUCCUGGGGCUGAAGUAGGUCCCAAGGGUAUGGCUGUUCGCCAUUUAAAGUGGUACGCGAGCUGGGUUUAGAACGUCGUGAGACAGUUCGGUCCCUAUCUGCCGUGGGCGCUGGAGAACUGAGGGGGGCUGCUCCUAGUACGAGAGGACCGGAGUGGACGCAUCACUGGUGUUCGGGUUGUCAUGCCAAUGGCACUGCCCGGUAGCUAAAUGCGGAAGAGAUAAGUGCUGAAAGCAUCUAAGCACGAAACUUGCC
rnacentral:rRNA from 1 species